AGCGAACGCUGGCGGCAGGCUUAACACAUGCAAGUCGAGCGGGCACUUUCGGGUGUCCGCGGCGGACGGGUGAGUAACGCGUGGGAACGUGCCCUCUGGUUCGGAAUAACUCAGGGAAACUUGAGCUAAUACCGGAUACGCCCUGUUGGGGAAAGGCUUGCUGCCGGAGGAUCGGCCCGCGUCUGAUUAGCUAGUUGGUGAGGUAACGGCUCACCAAGGCGACGAUCAGUAGCUGGUCUGAGAGGAUGAUCAGCCACACUGGGACUGAGACACGGCCCAGACUCCUACGGGAAGCAGCAGUGGGGAAUAUUGGACAAUGGGCGCAAGCCUGAUCCAGCCAUGCCGCGUGAGUGAUGAAGGCCUUAGGGUUGUAAAGCUCUUUUAUCCGGGACGAUAAUGACGGUACCGGAGGAAUAAGCCCCGGCUAACUUCGUG
rnacentral:rRNA from 1 species